GCUGGGGGAUGUCGCGGUCUCCUGUCACCCGAGCGGGGGCUGACACGUGGAAGUUCUUGAUGAUUUCGUCGGUCCAGAUAUCACCUGCGUCGAUGGCAUGUCCGCUCUGAGCCUACAGUCGACAACGGCCCAUCCCUGACGGGAGGUGGUCGUGGUUGAUGAUUAAUCCGGAAACGCGUGAGGCAGUAACCUGAGCAGCGAAAACGGGUAGCUGCGGGCGGCAGACGGAUUGCAUACUUUAGGUGGCUGGGCCACCCGGCGAGUCCUCUCAGAGGCAACCAACUGUUUU
rnacentral:SRP_RNA from 1 species